UACAAACAAUAAAAGUCUCAGAUAUUUGACCUCAGAUGAACUGAUGAGAAAUUCAGGAUCAGUGGACAGACAGUGGACAGAAUUCUGAGUGAAUUAUCACAGGAUCCAAACACACACUCAACCUCUUCUGAUGAGCUCUGUGUUGAGAGUAGAGUUAAAGUUUAAUCCUGAAAUGUCUCAGGUACACUCGAUUCUGAACACUUUUCUUGUGUGAUGUCAGCUGGAGUGAGGAGCAGAGAAGUCACUAAGUUAAACUCCUGAAAGUGCUCUGAGAAGAACUGUGAAGAACACAAAUGUGGAUUCUGAGUGGAGUGACUGAGAAUGGAAUGGUUUCAGUGAUACAGCAUUAAAACCCUGAGAAAUGAUGAAUCAGUAAUGUCUACUGAAGAGGAACCCGGGAACCUCAAAGGUGUGAAGUGCUCAUGAGCUGCUGUUAGUGACUCUGAACAUCAGCAAUGUUCCUCACAUCAACACUGACAUGGAAGAGGAAAAGAACCAGAGAACCACU